rnacentral:antisense_RNA from 1 species
ACAAAAAAAAGAAAGCAUGCAAAUCGUUUCCGUUUGCAUGCUUUUUUUUAUGCGCUUGCUGAUUCCUUUUUCACA